AUGUAAAUUCAGCCAUUAUCUACUCACCCAUAUGCCGAGGGAGGCUCAGGUGAAGUUUUAGAGUCCUCACAUCACUUGCAGAGAUCCAAGGGGAGAGGAGGUAGCAACACAACUCCACCUAAUGGAGGCUGACGGCGCCCCAGAUUCAAACGUCCAAAAACACAUAAUUGAAACCACAAAAUAUCUCCAUACUGCUCGUCCGUAGUGAUCCAAGUGUCCUGAAGCCCCGACAUAAAAAGUUGUUUGGAAAAACCUCAUUUGAACUCUGUUUUUAGCCUCAUUGUAGCCUGUAGCUUUAACUGCCUCUCUGGGCACCGCGCUCACGUGUACGCUUGCACGAGACCAGCGAAAGCACGUGAACACACAUGAAUGCGGUGCCCAUGUCUCACGGUCUCGCACAAGCACACACACGUGAGCGCAGUGCACAGAGAGGCAAGUUACAGUGCAUCAGUGCAGGUAAAAAAAACAAACAUUUGGAUGUUACAUUUUUUGCUUCUGUGACCUUUAAAGGAUCAGAAAAUACCUGUGUGCCAACCGACCCUGGUCUCCCCUACUUCAAACUCUUUAAUACUCAUUGUAGCCCUCAUACAUGCACCGUGCACCAUGCACCAUGCACAUGCCUCAAUAUGUCAGCAAAAUCAAAAACUGGAGAGGUCAGCCAUGCCAUAAUGGUUGCUUCAAGGUGAUUGGACAAUAGCUGUUUUAGGGAGGAGUUCAGUGAACAGUUAAUACCGUUAUUAGUUGCACCUGUGUCGGACAUUUCAAAAUAAUCUGCUGUGAAAAGAGUUUUUUACCUUUUGUUUUCUCGUUAUAUGAGUAAUGUGUGCCCCCUGCAAUACCUCCGUGCCCCUCUAGAGGGCCCCACCUCACAGUUUGGGAACCACUGCUGUAAAUGAACCAGGUCAAUGUGUGUUUUAUUAUCAAACCUUGAUUCAUGACUGUUUUAAACUGGCCUGAAGAAGCAGUAUUUACUGGUGAGUCCUGUGUGGAAGUUGGCACAGCUUAUAUCUGAAUUUAUAACAUUUCUUUACUCGGUUAUAACCAGAAUAUAUUCUGGACAACCUGGAUGUUUAUUACCCCAUAAAUGAGAUUAAUAUGUAAAACUGGUUUCUUGUAAAUCUUCAAAGCCCCAUCGGUGUAAUUUAUGUUUCUGUACCGAAAUCUAAUGCUCUAAAAACAAGGUUGGUCAUAAAUAGGAAGAACCACCAAGAAUAAGCCCUCACAGUACACGUGGUGUGCAGGCCUUCACAGGAUAUCACAAUCUGCAUUUGUGUCUUUUUUAUUGUGACUUUGUAUUUGAUAUUGCUUUUCCACAGACAAUCAUGAGCUAGCGUAGAUACAUGAUGUUAAUAAUAUGCAGAGGGUUUUAUUGUGCUUUUCCAUGGCGGGUUCAACAACCCUUUGUGUCUCCCUUUUUAAAACAUGUCUUUGCUGUCAUUCUUAUUUGAUGCCGUCACCUACAGUGAUUUAAAAUGUGUGUUGUGUUUUGUUAAAGUAAACGUUAUGUUUUGUGUUGAAAUAAAGACUUUUUUCAUGUA